AAUAGAUACCCGGGUAGUCCACGCAGUAAACGAUGAGUGCUAGGUGUUAGGGGGGCCAACCCCUUAGUGCUGAAGUUAACACAUUAAGCACUCCGCCUGGGGAGUACGACCGCAAGGUUGAAACUCAAAGGAAUUGACGGGGGCCCGCACAAGCAGUGGAGCAUGUGGUUUAAUUCGAAGCAACGCGAAGAACCUUACCAGGUCUUGACAUCCUCUGACAACCCUAGAGAUAGGGCGUUCCCCUUCGGGGGACAGAGUGACAGGUGGUGCAUGGUUGUCGUCAGCUCGUGUCGUGAGAUGUUGGGUUAAGUCCCGCAACGAGCGCAACCCUUGAUGUUAGUUGCCAGCAUUCAGUUGGGCACUCUAACGUGACUGCCGGUGACAAACCGGAGGAAGGUGGGGAUGACGUCAAAUCAUCAUGCCCCUUAUGACCUGGGCUACACACGUGCUACAAUGGGCGGUACAAAGGGCAGCGAAACCGCGAGGUGGAGCCAAUCCCAUAAAGCCGCUCUCAGUUCGGAUUGCAGGCUGCAACUCG
rnacentral:rRNA from 1 species